GUCCACGCCGUAAACGAUGAGAACUAGUUAUUGGGGGUAUUGACUCCCUCAGUGACGCAGCUAACGCAUUAAGUUCUCCGCCUGGGGAGUACGGUCGCAAGACUAAAACUCAAACAAAUUGACGGGGGCCCGCACAAGCGGUGGAUUAUGUGGUUUAAUUCGAAGCAACGCGCAGAACCUUACCUAGGCUUGAACUCCUACGAACCUGUCUUAAUCGGCGGGGUGUCCGCAAGGAAAUGUAGUGAGAGGUGCUGCAUGGCUGUCGU
rnacentral:rRNA from 1 species